rnacentral:sRNA from 1 species
GGUCUGCUGGAGUUUGCUGGAGGUGCACUCCAGACUCUGUUUGCCUGCCUAUCACCAACAGAGGCUGCAGAACAGCAAAGAUUGCUGUCUGUAACUUCCUCUGGAAGCUUCAUCCCAGAGGGGCACCUGCCAGAUGCCAGCCGGAGCUCUCCUCUAUGAGUGAAUGAAGGAGGGAAGAAAGGAGAGACAGAGAAAAUAUGGAUUUCCUCAUGGUUGUGAUUCCUCUUCACUCUUUUGAAUUUGGAAGGAUGGCAUACACAUCUGAAAAAUACCACUACUUCCUUCAUUGGACUGCAAGGUAUUUCUGUUUGGAAAAGUAAUGGAGUCCAGUCAACUUCAUUGAUCGCCAAGGACUGUCAAAAUUAUAAAACUUGCUGUGGAGCUCUGACAUGCCAGAAGCCGCUAGAAAAAGAAGUUUGACAUUCAGAAACUUAUCAAGAGGUUCUACUCUUUGGAUAGAGACCAAAAUCAUACUUUGAAAAAGCCUGACAGGUUUCUUCGGAAAAGUGGCCAUCCAUGGAAUGAAUGAAAUGUUCUCUUUCUAUUCCAGGGAUUGCAGUGGCAAAGCUAGGCUAGGUCUUGGAGGCUGGUGUAAGGCGAUGUGGGUGAAGGCAGGAGGCUGAUGGAAAGACUGGGGGGAAGAAAAGCCGAAAUGGAUUCACGGUGCCUUGGAUGAAGGACGAGAGGGGAACUGCAAGCUCCUUCAACUGGUUCUGUCCGGUGAGAAGUGAUCAAGCUUGGGCUGACAAGAGGCUCAGGGAGCCCUCACGUUCUUUCGCUUUUUUACCUGCCAAUCAAACUGCUACAAGACAACACCCUGAUCUGGCAUGGACAUCGCGGGUCCAAGCCUGUAGCCCCAAAUCGGAUAAUCUCUGCAGCUGAUAACAAGCAAAAGAGAAGCCAGGCAACAGCCAUAUUAAAGAAGAAAACAAUCAACUCUGAGAUCCAACUUAGAAAUAAUGUUUCAUUCAAGAUAAGGCUCGUGGCUUAGGAGAUUGUGACCUGGCUUGCAUCAUUCUAAGACUUCUAUCGUCUGUUUUCAAAACCCAAGGAGGACCUCCUUUUCUGUGUGAUAGUUCCUCAUGCUUUGCCAGCCACUGGGUCUUUAAGGAAGCUUGCCAAGAGUUCCCGGCUGGGAAGGACAGUUCGAGUUCAUCAUAGACAAUGAGCUGGCACCACAGUUUAAGUGACUCACCAACCUGGUUGCCCACUUCAAAAUGUCAAGAACCACACUAUCUAAUUGAAAGAACUGUGUUUUAGCAAAGUGUAAUUGGAUCGCCUGGCAAGAUCAUCUCAAACUAUGUCUCUGACCUUGCCUUUCAGUGGCUAUUUUGAGCACAAGAGGAGAAAGGAAAUGAUUCCUGAAUUAUAUCUUGUUUUUAAAAAUUAAGAUUAAUUAAUACUUGGUUUUAUGUUCAUUCCAUUGUAGGAACUUAGUGAUUAUUACAAAACAGUCAAAAUAGGUCAUAGCAAAAUGAACGUUUAAGAUUAGGUUAAAACAUUCCUCUGAAAUUUUAGUAUUCACUUUUGAAGUGUCAAUUACUAUAUUUCUGUAAUUUCUCAUUUUUUUCUUGGCUUAGAGUCAAGAUGAAAAAUGAUAUUUGAAUCAAAGACAUUGUUUUGUUAUAUAGCCACUCCUUUCUAAAAUGCAAAUCCACCCUCCCCUCACCAAUGCUUUAUUCUUUGUGCGCGCACACACACACACACACACACACACACACACACACACACACAGACAUACACAGAACCAGCACCCAAAUGGUAGAGGAGGUCCUUCCAAGACUUCUAGGACCUGGAUCAUGUAAGCAGUAGAUGAGAAAAUGAAGUAAGAGAUAUAGAGUAAUAACAAUAAAAGUCAAUGAUUUCAUUUUACAAAAAAGUCAUUGUGUAGUACUCAGAUAUUUUUAAGAGCAAGUAUUAUUAUGACUAAAGUAUAUUAUACUUCUAAAUUAUUAUGAUUCUCAUCUAAUUUCAAGCCACACAUAGGCGCCAUUUGAAAGCAUUUUGUGUUACAACCUAUCAACAAAAAUCAACUAAUAGUUUUAUAACGUGCAUAGGUUUACCCCAUGGGGAAUUAAAAUUUUUAUCUGCAAGUAUUUCUGUUGUUGUGAGACUUUAGGACAAGACAACAUUUGGUGUUAACAUAGAAGAAUAUUCUAUGGCUUUUUUAGCUUUAAAGUUCAUUACUCUAAAAUAAAGUACACGUGGUAUUUUUUUCUUCCUAGUGUUCUCUUAUUAUAUGUAGAGUAUUUUCGGUUGUUGUUUUUAACGUAUACAUUAUUUUUAUUAAGUCAUUUCAUAAAAGAUAAGAUAUAUACUAAUAGACCCUUGGUUUUCUCCUAAUUUAAUUAUUUCAAGUCAAGCAAAAUUGGGCAAUUUUCUUUCAGGAAAAAAAAAAUAUUGAGCAUGAUUUUGAGGUAAAACUGAUUAUUUACAGCAUCUUUUCUCUAAUAGGCUAACAUUUAUGAUGGAUCUUAUUUCAAAGUUGAUUAUUCUCAAAGAAAAGUGGAGAUAUUAGAAUUUCCGAGUAAAUUGCAUUGUUUUAAAAAGUACUUUAAUGCAUUGUUCACAUUGUUGCCAGCUAUUGACCAAAAAAAAAAAAAAAAAAAAAAAAAAAAAAAAAAAA